AGAGUUUGAUCCUGGCUCAGGAUGAACGCUAGCGACAGGCUUAACACAUGCAAGUCGAACGGUAACAGGCCUAGCUUGCUAGGUGCUGACGAGUGGCGGACGGGUGAGUAACGCGUAGGAAUCUGCCCUAUAGUGGGGGAUAACACUGGGAAACUAGUGCUAAUACCGCAUAAUCCCUGAGGGGGUAAGGCUUCGGCCGCUAUUGGAUGAGCCUGCGUCAGAUUAGCUAGUUGGUGGGGUAAAGGCCUACCAAGGCGAAGAUCUGUAGCUGUUCUGAGAGGAAGAUCAGCCACACUGGGACUGAGACACGGCCCAGACUCCUACGGGAGGCAGCAGUGGGGAAUAUUGGACAAUGGGCGCAAGCCUGAUCCAGCGACGCCGCGUGAGUGAUGAAGGCCUUUGGGUCGUAAAGCUCUGUCAGCAGGGAAGAACGGCCGUGUGGUUAAUACCCAUGCGGAUGACGGUACCUGCAGAGAAG
rnacentral:rRNA from 1 species